rnacentral:rRNA from 1 species
GGGGAAACCCUGAUGCAGCCAUGCCGCGUGUGUGAAGAAGGCCUUCGGGUUGUAAAGCACUUUCAGCGAGGAGGAAAGGUUGAUGCCUAAUACGUAUCAACUGUGACGUUACUCGCAGAAGAAGCACCGGCUAACUCCGUGCCAGCAGCCGCGGUAAUACGGAGGGUGCAAGCGUUAAUCGGAAUUACUGGGCGUAAAGCGCACGCAGGCGGUUGGAUAAGUUAGAUGUGAAAGCCCCGGGCUCAACCUGGGAAUUGCAUUUAAAACUGUCCAGCUAGAGUCUUGUAGAGGGGGGUAGAAUUCCAGGUGUAGCGGUGAAAUGCGUAGAGAUCUGGAGGAAUACCGGUGGCGAAGGCGGCCCCCUGGACAAAGACUGACGCUCAGGUGCGAAAGCGUGGGAGCAAACAGGAUUAGAUACCCUGGUAGUCCACGCCGUAAACGAUGUCGAUUUGGAGGCUGUGUCCUUGAGACGUGGCUUCCGGAGCUAACGCGUUAAAUCGACCGCCUGGGGAG